rnacentral:rRNA from 1 species
CAGCAGCCGCGGUAAUACAGAGGGGGCUAGCGUUAUUCGGAAUUAUUGGGCGUAAAGGGCGCGCAGGCGGCCACGCACGUCCGUUGUGAAAUCGCUCGGCUCAACUGGGCGGGGUCAGCGGAUACGGCGUGGCUAGAGCAAGCUAGGGGGCAAUGGAAUUCCCGGUGUAGUGGUGGAAUGCGUAGAUAUCGGGAGGAACACCAGUGGCGAAGGCGGUUGCCUGGAGCUUUGCUGACGCUGAGGCGCGAAAGCGUGGGGAGCGAUCCGGAUUAGAUACCCGGGUAGUCCACGCUGUAAACGAUGUCGACUAGGUGUCGGGGGUAUCGACCCCCUCGGCGCCGCAGCUAACGCAUUAAGUCGACCGCCUGGGGACUACGGCCGCAAGGCUAAAACUCAAAGGAAUUGACGG